AUUGAACGCUGGCGGCAUGCUUUACACAUGCAAGUCGAACGGCAGCACAGGGAGCUUGCUCCUGGGUGGCGAGUGGCGAACGGGUGAGUAAUGUAUCGGAACGUGCCUGGUAGUGGGGGAUAACUACUCGAAAGAGUGGCUAAUACCGCAUGAGAUCUUUGGAUGAAAGCGGGGGGCCUUCGGGCCUCGUGCUACUGGAGCGGCCGAUAUCAGAUUAGGUUGUUGGUGGGGUAAAGGCCUACCAAGCCUGCGAUCUGUAGCUGGUCUGAGAGGACGACCAGCCACACUGGGACUGAGACACGGCCCAGACUCCUACGGGAGGCAGCAGUGGGGAAUUUUGGACAAUGGGCGCAAGCCUGAUCCAGCAAUGCCGCGUGCAGGACGAAGGCCUUCGGGUUGUAAACUGCUUUUGUACAGAACGAAAAGUCUCUGGCUAAUAUCUAGAGAUCAUGACGGUACUGUAAGAAUAAGCACCGGCUAACUACGUG
rnacentral:rRNA from 1 species